AGUGCGUUCGUCUGAUGACCGAUUGGAUCGACACCGGUUUCUCUAUAAAAGCGGAUGCACGCGACGAUCGAUCGCAGCUUGGCGGUCGAUUUAACCGUUCCUCGAAAACCGCGCCGUUACGUUUCAUCCCGUGACUGGUUCGUUCGACACUCCACUAUCGGAUGCACGAGGACAUGAGCGGUGCAGUGGAAACUGGCCACCGGAACUCGGCAUUCGUCGAGGACGAGAAAGAUCGACGUCGUCGCUCCGACAACGAAUCCGGAGAAUCGAUAUCGGGAUGCUCGACGUCAACGGAGGAAGUAAAAGCGACGAGCAGCUGGAACAACAGCAUAGAGUUCCUGUUGUCCUGCGUAGCCAUGUCCAUCGGGUUCGGUAACAUUUGGAGGUUCCCGUUCACCGCUUACGAAAAUGGCGGCGGUGUGUUCCUGAUACCUUACAUCAUCGUCCUGCUCCUCGUUGGUAAACCGUUCUACUAUCUAGAGAUGAUAAUGGGACAGUUCUCCUCGUCGUCGUCCAUCAAAGUUUGGAGAUUGUCGCCCGCGUUUGUUGGGGUUGGUUGGGCCCAGUGUUGUUCGUGCGUGGCGCUAAUGACGUAUUACACUUACCUGAUGGCUCUGACGCUGUUCUUCCUCGUCGCCUCUUUUUCCGCCGAGCUACCCUGGGCAAAGUGCAGAGAAGAAUGGGGCGACCGUUGCGUGGACUCCGACAGGAAGAUGAAUACCAGCGCGAACAGUACGAACGCGCUCGAAGGAACGCACCAGGGAACGAACUUGUUCAGGUUGCUGGUAGACGACGAACACUACAGCAGCUCGGCUGAACUUUACUUCACGAAGGUGGUUCUUCAGGAGAAAGACAACAUCGACGAUGGAAUCGGACUGCCAGAUUGGAGAUUGACGCUCUGCUUGUUGGGUAGCUGGCUCCCGGUGCUCCUGGUAUCGUUCCAGGGCGUGAGAAGCUCGGGAAAGGCUUCCUAUUUUCUCGCGAGUUUCCCUUACGUUGUUCUGAUCAGUCUUCUGAUCAGAGCGGUCACCCUCGAUGGCGCCGCAAAAGGGAUAUUGUACUUCGUCACGCCGAAAUGGUCGAAGCUCUUGGACCCAACUAUUUGGUACGCAGCCGUCACCCAAUGCUUUUUCUCGCUUUCCGUUUGUUUCGGCGUCAUCAUCACCUACUCGUCGCACAACGACUUCAAGCACAACAUCUACAGGGACGCGAUGAUCGUGACAAGCCUGGAUACGGUGACCAGUUUCAUAGCUGGUUGCACGAUUUUUGGGAUUCUCGGGAACUUGGCCCACGAGAUGGGGAUCGCGGACAUCGACAAGGUGGUCAAGUCCGGGGUUGGCUUGGCGUUCGUUUCCUACCCUGACGCGAUAGCCAAGUUCACGUUUUUGCCACAGCUGUUCUCGGUUCUCUUUUUCGUGAUGAUGUUCGUUCUGGGAGUUGGCAGUACCGUGGGCAUGGUAUCGGGGAUCGCAACCGCCCUGAAAGAGCGGCUUCCGAACGUGGAGAUCUGGCAGAUCGUUUUUACGGUGUGCUCGAUGGGAUUCGCCGUCAGCACAGUUUACGUUACUCCCGGUGGCCAAUUCAUGCUGACGCUCGUCGAUUACUAUGGCACCUCCUUCGUUGUGUUCAUCUUGGCCUCUUUUGAAAUCACCGCGGUAACGUGGUUGUACGGUAUAGAGAACUUGCUGAACGAUGUCGAGUUCAUGCUGGAGAGGAAGACGACCAGCUACUGGAGGAUCUGCUGGUUCCUCGUGACCCCGUUGAUUCUGAUAACAAUUUUCAUCUACACCGUCGCCACCCUGUCGCCAUUGACCUACGGAACCAAAGGAUUUCCGACAUCGGCCCACGCAGCUGGCGCGGUUUUACUCUGCUUUAGUAUUUUCCAAAUACCAUUCUGGAUGACGAUGGAAAUAGUAAAGAACAGGCGGCUGCCUUUGUUACAGAACUUGAAGAGGUGUUUUCAGCCGACGUCGGAAUGGGGACCGAGGGAGGCCAAGUACAGGAAAGCCUGGCUCCUCUUCAAACAAGAGAAAAUGAAAGAGAGGAGUCUCAGGACGCAGCCCAAGUGGCUUCAACUGAUUUGCAUACUGCUUCGUGUAAAGCUGAAAUAACACUGUCCCAGAAGACCGUUCUCGAAACAGAAUCUCCUCUUGCAUUCUCCGGACGCUCGUUACCAGUGGAAACAAAUAAAAAUGAAUAAGCUGAGAUCUACGGGGUAUCUCGUCAGCGUCAUCGAAGCAGUCCGAUGGUCAGAUUCUUGAUCGAAUCCCUUAAUGCUGCAGUUGCUAUCAAUCUCCUCCGAUCAGCAGCGUCACGAUUCUCGACCUUUUCUUG